GACGAACGCUGGCGGCGUGCUUAACACAUGCAAGUCGAACGGAAAGGCCCUGCUUUUGUGGGGUGCUCGAGUGGCGAACGGGUGAGUAACACGUGAGUAACCUGCCCUUGACUUUGGGAUAACUUCAGGAAACUGGGGCUAAUACCGGAUAGGAGCUCCUGCUGCAUGGUGGGGGUUGGAAAGUUUCGGCGGGUGGGGAUGGACUCUCGGCUUAUCAGCUUGUUGGUGGGGUAGUGGCUUACCAAGGCUUUGACGGGUAGCCGGCCUGAGAGGGUGACCGGCCACAUUGGGACUGAGAUACGGCCCAGACUCCUACGGGAGGCAGCAGUGGGGAAUAUUGCACAAUGGGCGGAAGCCUGAUGCAGAAACGCCGCGUGCGGGAUGACGGCCUUCGGGUUGUAAACCGCUUUCGCCUGUGACGAAGCGUGAGUGACGGUAAUGGGUAAAGAAGCACCGGCUAACUACGUG
rnacentral:rRNA from 1 species